AGAGUUUGAUCCUGGCUCAGGAUGAACGCUAGCGACAGGCCUAACACAUGCAAGUCGAGGGGUAACAGGGAAGCUUGCUUCCGCUGACGACCGGCGCACGGGUGAGUAACGCGUAUGCAACCUACCUGUAACAGGGGGAUAGCUCCCUGAAAGGGGAAUUAACACCGCAUAAGACUACGGCAUCACAUGGUGCAGUGGUAAAAUAUUUAUAGGUUACAGAUGGGCAUGCGUGACAUUAGCUAGUUGGCGGGGUAACGGCCCACCAAGGCUACGAUGUCUAGGGGUUCUGAGAGGAAGGUCCCCCACACUGGUACUGAGACACGGACCAGACUCCUACGGGAGGCAGCAGUGAGGAAUAUUGGUCAAUGGGCGCAAGCCUGAACCAGCCAU
rnacentral:rRNA from 1 species